UACGGGGGGGGGCAAGCGUUGUUCGGAAUUCCUGGGCGUAAAGGGCUCGUCGGCGGCCAACUACGUCGGACGUGAAAUCCCUCAGCUUAACUGGGGAACUGCGUCUGAUACUGGAUGGCUUGGAUUCGGGAGAGGGAUGCGGAAUUCCAGGUGUAGCGGUGAAAUGCGUAGAUAUCUGGAAGAACAUCGGUGGCGAAGGCGGCCUGCUUGGCAGUAGCUGACUCUGAGGCGCGACAGCGUGGGGAGCAAACAGG
rnacentral:rRNA from 1 species